rnacentral:lncRNA from 1 species
CUGAUCUGGGGUUUUAUUGGCCCCCAGGAGAUGGAAGGCCCAGGCUCCAGCUGCGGUGGAGGACAAAGGGGACUUGUUUUGGUGACAAUGGUGCCUUUCAGGAGGGAGGAGGUGGCUUUUGUUAAGGGGGAACGAUGAGUUCAAGGGGUUCUGACUUAUUCUGGCAAGUUUCUCCAGCUCUACAAGAACUUCUAGUGCUCUGGGCAGCUGCGAGGGGUCAAGAAACCACAUCCCCAAAUCCAGCGGGAUCUCAGAGAGAAAGGCUGAUGGGAAGCUGCCCAGGGCUGACCUGGCACAUGCUGGGAAAACCCCUCGGUGCCAGGGCAGGAGGCAGAGCGUCUGCAGCUCCUCCCUCCCCAACACAGGGGGUAAGGAAUACAGCAGAACGGGAAUCGGGCGCCUUCAUGCUGCUGUUACCGCCCUUGGUUCAUGGCUUCUUUCACUUGGAAACCCCAGGAGGUGGGCAUUGCUGUACCGCAUGUGCUACUGACCAAAACAGGCCAAAGCUCAGCGAGGGGUGGGAUCACCUAAGGUUGUGCAGCACCUACGUGGUGGAGUGAGGAUCCGAGCCUCCAUCUUUCAUGCAUUAAUUCAUUCUGUCUCUGGAUUCCCCUAGAAGCAGACCCUGAGGCAAGGAUCCACAUCUAAGUUCCUGUUGACGAGGCGGCCCAGCUCCCCAGGCGUGGCUGUGUUCCGGAUAUCCACAUCGUGGGGCGACACAUAAAGCUUUGUGUCAUUCAAGUCAAAGAACUCGACUUCUGUGAGACCCACCCACCACGAGUUGCCCCAGUUGGACAGGAUCUCCAUGGUCACGUAGAUGGCAUCUUUGAUCUCGUCUGCCCUCAUUCUCUGUUUGUCCUUAAAGAAGAGAAAAAUAACACCAAAGGAUUAAGUCAUGACAGGCUUGAAUUCGGCUCUGCCUCUGCCACCACUGCCUUCAAAAAGUUAGUUAACCUUCAGGGUCUCAGUCUCUCCAUCUGUACAAUGAGGAUAAGAAUAGCACCCACUACCUAUGGUUAUUACAAUGAUUAAAUGAAUUCAUACUGUAAAGCAUUCAAAAUAGAGGCCCUGUGUAACUGGCACUCUGUGAGCAUUCUGUUUGAAAGUUUACAAAUAAAUAAAAAUGUCUAAAAAGCAUUGAAUUCUGCCUGAACAUGCACGUCUCUCCCCCACUACUCAGUGUUCGGUACCCAGAAGCUUGUCACGACAUCUGCUGAAUUGAGUAGGUGUUACGUGCUAAGGCCGGGCACGGUGGCUCACGCCUGUAAUCCCAACACUUUGAGAGGCCAAGCUCGGAGGAUUCCUCGAGGCCAGGAGUUCAAGAUCAGCCUAAGCAACAAAGUGAGAUCCUGUCUUUACAAAAAAAUUAAAAAAAAAAAAGAGCUUGGCACAGCGGCACAUGCCUGUAGUCCCAGCUACGCAGGAGGCUGAGGCAGGAGGAUUGCUGGAGCCCAGGUGGUUGAGGCUGCAGUGAGCUGUGUUCACACCACUGCAUUCCAGCCUGGGUGAAAGACCCAGUCUCAAAAAAAAAAAAAAAAGGUUACGGGCUGAAUUUAUCCCUUCCAAAUUAAUCUGAUGAAACUCUAAUCCCCAGUACCUCAGAAUAUGACUGUAUUUGGAGAUAAGGCCUUUAAAUAGGUGAUUAAGUUAAAAUGAGGCUGUGGGGGAGGGGGGCACUAAUCCAAUCUAACUGGUGUCCUUAUAAGAGGAAAGUUGGACACACAGAGAGACACACCAAGGAUGCACACACAGAAAAAGGCCAUAUGAGGGCAAAGCAAGAAGGCAGCUAUCUGCAAGCCAGAGAGAGGCCUCAGAACAAACCAAACCUGCCAACACCUUGAUCUUGGACUUCCAGCCUUCGGAAUUGUGAGAAAACAAAUCUCUGUUGUUGAAGCCACCCCAUGUGUGGUAUUUUGUUAUGGCAGCCCUGGUGGACUGAUAUAGUAGGUAACAUGGCCCCCUGGCCUUGGACAAGUCACUUGACAUCCCUCGGCCUGGUUGGGGAAGAGGACAUGACACCAUCUAUGUGAUAAUCCUGUCACAGAUGUUAAACAAGAUAUCAAUACCUAAGAAGGCCCUAUCAUGAGCCUCGGCCCUGGGUGCGCUCUGUAAGUGUCUGUUUCUUUCUGUUUCUCUCCUUCAUUGGUUUUAAUGCCUGCCUCCUUCCUGCGUCGGCUGUCUGCUCUGAGAGCCUGCGUGAAUGCCAUCAAUAAAUGGCCACCGUUCGGAAUGGCUUCCUGAGGCCCUCCAGGGCUGAUUGCAGCACUGGUCGCCACGGAUCAGUCACUCACAAAAUGGUGCAUUCCCCAUGUGCACAUGCCCUCUGUUAAUUAGCAUGGGUAAUCUGCAAUGGUUCUGUGAGCAGGGAGCCAAGCAAAUGAACAGCAACUGUUCCCCACUUAUUUUUUUAAUUAAUAGCCAGCGAGACGUGCUAUUGCUCUCAGUGUGUGUUUGGAGGGGCCUUGAUUGCCACACGGUGGGAACGCGGAUAGGGAGGAGGGAGAGAGGUCAGCUCACAGCUCCUGGAUAAAAGAUAGGGCCUGUUUUGAUCAGCUGGGCCCUCGAAACCCACAGCUUCCUCCUGCUCC